rnacentral:sRNA from 1 species
UGACCCCGUUGGGGACAUUGUUUCAUUUAUGCACUCUUUUGAAGAGAAAUAUGGGAGGGCACACCCUGUCUUCUACCAGGGAACGUACAGCCAGGCACUUAACGAUGCCAAACGGGAGCUUCGCUUUCUUUUGGUUUAUCUUCAUGGAGAUGAUCACCAGGACUCUGAUGAGUUUUGUCGGUAAGUGGAUUGAUCAUUUUCUUUCUCUUUUCUGACUCUUUCUGGUGACAGUUUGUAGUCAGCAAGUUGUUCUCAUGUCCUUUUCAUACCUUUCCACAGCAACACACUCUGUGCACCUGAAGUUAUUUCACUAAUAAACACUAGGAUGCUCUUCUGGGCAUGCUCUACAAACAAACCUGAGGGAUACAGGGUCUCACAGGCUUUACGAGAGAACACCUAUCCAUUCCUGGCCAUGAUUAUGCUGAAGGAUCGAAGAAUGACUGUGGUGGGACGGCUAGAAGGCCUCAUUCAACCUGAUGACCUCAUUAACCAACUGACAUUUAUCAUGGAUGCUAACCAGACUUACCUGGUGUCAGAACGCCUAGAAAGGGAAGAAAGAAACCAGACCCAAGUGCUGAGACAGCAGCAGGAUGAGGCCUACCUGGCCUCUCUC